rnacentral:rRNA from 1 species
CGGCCGCGUCGACGGGACGGAGAAGGCUAGGUGAGCCAGGCGUUGGUUGUCCUGGUGAAAGUGAGUAGGCUGGCGUCUUAGGAAAAUCCGGGACGCUUUAAGGCCGAGACACGAUAUGAACUGACCACGGUCAGGAAGUCACUGAUGCCACGCUUCCAGGAAAAGCCUCUAAGCUUCAGAUCAUGUGCGACCGUACCCCAAACCGACACAGGUGGUCAGGGUGAGAAUCCCAAGGCGCUUGAGAGAACUCGGGUGAAGGAACUAGGCAAAAUGGUGCCGUAACUUCGGGAGAAGGCACGCCGGCGUAGGGUGACGAGACUUGCUCUCCUAGCCCGAACCGGUCGAAGAUACCAGGUGGCUGCAACUGUUUAUUAAAAACACAGCACUCUGCUAACGCGCAAGCGGACGUAUAGGGUGUGACGCCUGCCCGGUGCCGGAAGGUUAAAUGAUGGUGUUAGCCGCAAGGCAAAGCUCUUGAUUGAAGCCCCGGUAAACGCGCGUAACAUAACGGUCAGUAGCGAAUCUGUCGGUAGUUCGACCUGCACGAUAGG